UCGCCGCGGUGCGAUCACACGUUGGGACACGCGAGCGGACGGAGACGGACAGACAGCAGCGACAAAGUAAAAGAGGAAGAGGAGAAGGCAUUGGAGUCCCCACAUGGGAGCAGCAGAGCUGUCUAAUCCACUUUUAUCUGACAGAAUCUGCCAAAGGACGCUUUGGAAACGCCUCCAUGACUUCAAACACAGACUUUUAAAUCCACGGAACUAAAAACAGAAAACUAAAAAGCCGACAACUGGCUCUAACAAGUGGACAGAUUUAAAAUUAAGAGCACGGCUGGACCGGAGGAGUGUUGCAUGGGUGCCAAAUCUCCAUCCAGGACGAGCCACACUUCCUCAGUCAACAGCCUCCUCCUUCCUCUUCCUCCUUCCACUUCAUCCUCGACCGUUUUUCUCUCAUUCUCCACUUUUCUCUCUCAUGGGAGUGACAUAGAGGCCAUCGCUUGGUCGUCCGCCCCGCCUCUUCUCCGCCUCGUCGUGGAAACGGGCAUGUCCAGGUAGUGAUGUCGUGGAAGAGGAACUACUUUGCAUCGGGUGGCGGAGCAGCUGGAGGGGUGCAGGGGCUGGUGACCCCGGGAAACAUGAACUCCAUCGCACCCAGCAAAGGCCUCAGCAACGAGCCGGGACAGAACAGCUGCUUCCUCAACAGCGCCCUGCAGGUUUUGUGGCACCUCGACAUCUUCCGCCGAAGUUUUCGACAGCUCACCACUCACAAGUGCAUGGAGGACUCCUGCAUCUUCUGCGCUUUAAAGAGUAUCUUCGCCCAGUUCCAGUUCAGCAGCGAGCGGGUUCUUCCAUCAGACGCACUGAGAAGCGCUCUGGCCAAGACUUUCCAAGACGAGCAGCGCUUUCAGCUGGGCAUCAUGGACGACGCCGCGGAGUGCUUUGAGAACCUGCUGAUGCGUAUCCACUUCCACAUCAGCACGGAGAGCAGAGAGGACAUCUGCACGGCCAAACACUGCAUCCCACACCAGAAGUUCGCCAUGACUCUGUUUGAGCAGUGUGUUUGUAACAGCUGUGGAGCCACGUCGGACCCCCUGCCAUUCAUUCAGAUGGUUCAUUACAUCUCCACGACUUCCCUCUGCAACCAGGCAGUGAGGAUGCUGGAGUGCAGAGACAAAGCCACGCCGGACAUGUUUGGAGAACUGCUCCGCAACGCCAGCAACAUGGGAGACCUGCGCAACUGCCCCAGCAACUGUGGGGAGGUGCUGCGUAUCCGCCGGGUUCUGAUGAACUCACCGGAGAUCGUGUCCAUCGGGCUGGUGUGGGACUCGGACCACUCCGACCUCGCCGAGGACGUCAUCCACAGCCUGGGAACCUGCCUGCGUCUGGGAGAUUUGUUCUACCGUGUGACAGAGGAGAGGGCUCGCCAGGCGGAGCUCUACUUGGUGGGCAUGGUGUGCUACUACGGCAAGCACUACUCCACCUUCUUCUUCCAGACCAAGAUACGCAAGUGGAUGUACUUCGACGACGCCCACGUUAAAGAGAUCGGCCCAAAGUGGAAGGACGUAGUGUCUCGGUGUAUCAAAGGCCACUAUCAGCCCCUGCUGCUGCUCUACGCUGACCCCCGUGGGACGCCGGUGAUACUGCAGGAGAGCCCCAACCCUUGUACCAGCUCCAACCCGCAGCUGGAGCUCCAGCACUGCAGCAGCAAGGCUGGUUACGACAGCGAAGACUCAGGUCGGGAGCCGUCUAUAUCCAGCGACACCCGCACAGACUCUUCCACGGACAGCUCAAAUCACCGGACGUCUUGCAGUCGACCCCUGCACCAGUCCACGGGCAGCCACCUCUCCAGCGAAUCCCAGACCACCGUGGUCUGCAGCUACGACAUCGGCACACCGCCACUCGGGGCUGACGCUGGAGAGUCAGCGGUGGAGGGCCCCCCCAGGCCCCCGUCUCCCCCCCUGCAGGAGUACAAGGAGACGGCCGUCUUCCUCCUGUCCUCCCGCAGGCCUCUCACCUCCUCGUCGUCCUCCUCUCGUCCUCUGUCCUCCUCCUCUUCGUCAGGAGUCGGGGGCUGCGAAGGUGGGGUUGGGGGGCCCCACUGGGAGGAUGAGAGCACGAGUAGCGAGAGCAAGUCCAGUUCCUCUGGGGGCCGUUACCGGCCAACCUGGAGGCCCCGGAGGGAGGCCCUGAACAUCGACAGUAUUUUCACCCAACAAAGAGGCUCCCCUUUGGGCUACAACACUGUCCCUGGCCCCCCUCCCCCUCCGGAGCCCCAGGACCCCUUCCCCUCGGCGGGACCCGUUCCACAGCCAGGACUGCAGGACGUGAAAGGGAGGGCUGCCGGCGAGGCGGAGCUGGGCUUCGGGCUGGUGGGGCAGCCCCGGCCUCUGGGCGGCGGGCGGACGAUGGGUCCCCCCGCUCCCCCGCCGCUGAGAGGGGUGGAGCACCAGCCACGGCUGAUCCAGAGGAUGGAGAGUGGCUACGAAAGCAGCGAGAGAAACAGCAGCAGUCCCGACAGGGAGGUGGGGCAACAAAAACAGGUGCUGAUGUCCGGACCAUCUUGGCGUUCAGUGCCCAAAUCAAAGAGUAGCGGUGCCAUUCUGCAGGAGCUGCCAUCACCCAGCUGGGGGACUGUCGCCAACACAGGCUCUGGCCGCAGUGAGCUGGAUGAGCUGCAGGAGGAGGUGGCGAGGAGAGCCCGCCAGCAGGAGCAGCAGAAGCGGAAGGAAGCUGAGCGGGAGGCAGCCAUGGGAUUCAACCCCAAACCCAGCAAAUUCAUGGACCUGGACCAGUUGCAGCACCAGGCUGUGCUCAGACCCCUGCAUGAGGCUAACGCUCAUAGCGGAUUGGCUGUAGCUGCGUGCAUGAGGAGCACUGGGGGCCCAGUCAAAUGCAGGCAGGAACAGGAAAUGGAACGGGAGACAGCAAGCGCCCGCCCACAAGGGCCACGCAGUGAACAGCCUGGCUCGGUCCAAGUUCUGCUGACGCCCAAUCAGGAGGAGGAAGAGGAGCAGGCGACCGGCGGCCAGGAUGCUGCUCGGGGCCGGGACCCGCCCCCUCCACCCUACCGGCCCCCUCUCCCCCGACCCACGCUCACCCUCAGCAUCGCUCACCCCUGCGCCCCCUCCAGGCAGGGGGAGGCGGGGAGGAGAGGGGAGGAAGGGGACGUCGGGGCAGAGGGGACGGGGGUGAGGCUGUGUGAGCUGCUGCAGGCAGGGGGGGUGAGUGUGAGACCCCUGGGGAAGCACUUAGCCAUCUCCCUACCCUCACUUCCUCUACGUCUCUGGGAUGCACACGCCACUCACAACUCACAGUCCACACAACUUGAACCUUCAAAUGCCCCACCUCCCCCCUCCACUCCUCCCCCGCUCCCCCCUGUGGAAGCUUCCGGGCCCAGGAAACCUCUGGCACCCGUCUGGCAGCCGCCCCAGCCUCAUUCCCCCGGCGGAGGGGCUCCGUAUCGGCAGCAGCAGCACGCAGCCACAGCAGAGAGCAGCACACGUCACUGGUCCUCCUGGAGCCUGGACCGCCCGGACGCCGUGGUGACGCCGUACCACACGCCCCCCGAUCGCUGCGUUCCCAUCAGGCCUCAGACGUACAGUCAAAGCUACAGUUCCCAGUCGUCUCCAGGGCCCUCCGUGUCCCAGCGUACCCCGGGGCGACACGGCGACCCGUCCUGUGACCGUGAAGAGGCUGAACUGUCUGAGCUCGACUCCCUUUAUCAGGCCAGUUUGCUGGCUGGCAGGCCAGGCUGCAGCCCGUCGGAGCGACUCAUCACCAGGGUGGGAGGGCAGACUCGCUCCAAGACCCCCAACGCAGACAUGGAGAGGAGUAUGUACGGGGCGGACUGCGCCAACACGCCCACCUACCUCAACAAGCCAAUGACACUGCGGGACGCACAUUUCCGGGUGGAGCCUGACGAUGAGGAGAACCAGAGACGAAUAGGACGCAGCCUGAGCGGCACGGUGGUGACCUCGCGCCGCGGCCGCCUCACCGCAACCCGCAGCUUUGUGAAGCAGGCUGAUGUCAGUGCCUCUCCUUGCUUACUUCCUCUCUUCUGAGUCCCUGUUGCUAUUCCACCACUAUCACCUCCUCCAUCCUCCUCUUCACCAACACCUUCUCAUCACCACUUCCCUUCACCGCUUCACAGGAGCUGUCGGGGGGUGCGGGGAGUUUCUGGCUGUGUCUGACGGGGGUCAAGCUGUCGUCGGACCAGAGUCCUGCUCUCCUCCAGUAACGUCUGGUUACGCCCACCUUUCCACCGGGCAGCAGCAGCGCUCAGGUUCUCCACAGCCUCGCCCCGGCGGACCUGGAACCGGCCUGGAGGGGUCGGCUCGACCCCCCCGUCCUCGUUCCUCCUCCUCCACCCACAGACACAUGCACGCACACAUGCACAUCUGCACUGACGUAGAGCCCCUCCAGCACCUGCAGCACCCUGCUUUGCCCCUUCUUGCCUUCGCCCUCCCACCCUCCUCCUCCCCCUUGACCUAUUAUUCUGUCUAUGCAGUCACUCUGACGCCCCCCAACUACCACCCUGAACCCCCCCACCCCCCAACUACCCAGGACUGUUGUUUCUCGUCUCCCCCAGGGGUUUCAGAGGGUUUCCCUGUGCAGUCGGCUUGUAGUCAUCCGAUGGGAACUCGUCCUCCGCCCCACGGGCCCCCACCUCGGGGGGAGACCCUGACAAAGUAGCCACGCCUCUUCCUCUUUCUCCACGGGCAUUUCCUGUUGGACGUACGUGUAGCUGAACUGAGUCUGUUUCAGAUGGACAGCCAUAUUUUUCUCUCUUCGUUUUCCUGUGUUUUUCUCGUGUGUGCACACCUCUAAAUCCACCCAGACUGAACUCUAAUAACUAAAAGUCAUGUACAGAAAAACUCAUGUAUGAAACCUGUAUGUUCAUUAAUAAGACCUUAUGGAAUGUUGAUAAUGAUAAUUAACAAAUAUUGAUAAACUAAAAGUGGUACUUCCUCAUGUCUGCAUUUUAAAUAGGAGUGGAGUGCACUUCACAAGUGUCUAGCUGGAGUUUCUCCCCCCCUCCCCACGACCGCUCGCCGACCUAUUGACAGCUCUCCCGUUUCUACCGGGAGAUUAAACAAGAAAAGCGCUUCCUUUUUCCUCCGCUUCUUGGACUCUUUCUUUUCUUCUCGAAUCUGUCUUUUUAUUUUUUAUCUCUGGUUUGCUUUUUCUCUGUUGGACGCGGGAAAACGGUGGCACCACAACCGGGCCGGCAGGGCAGGAAAAGCGGAGACGGAGCGAGCGAAUGUAGCCGUGGAAAAGGCUUCUCUGGGGCUUUUAUUGUGGCGAGGCAGAUGACACAAGUGCACUUGGCAGGGCCGUUCGGCAGAAGUGCACUUUCUGAAGGCUAAUUGACAAAGAAGCAAGCGGAAGAGAAGAGAGCGGCGUUUGUUUUACUUGGAGGCCUCAGGUGAACUUCCACUGGAGCUGUUUUCGGGACCCAAAUGUGAAGAGAAAAGCGCUCACCUUCAGUCUAAUAUAAAUAUGCUUUAUAUGAUAAAUCCAUGUUAGAGGUAUAUUUUCAGCCUGUGAGCUAUCUUCAGCGAUGUCAACCAAUCUUGAGCAGUUGUUAUACACCUGUGGCCCCCUCCCCCUUUAUGGAGUAGCAUUCUGACAUGUGUGGAGUGCAUUUAUUAUAUGCUUUAUUCAGUAUAAAUUAACAAAGCCCUUAUAUAAACAAAUGGCCAAUGUAAAGUUUUUCAAGAAUUUACUAAUGUUGACUGAUUGUUGUAACUAAACCAAAGGUUGCCACUUUUUAUUUUUCAUUUAGGUUCAUUGUUUUGUUGUCGAGUUGUUACUUUUCGGGGUUCUGGAUGUGGGAGAAUGUAGCCAAUUGUAGCGCAUGAGUCCGCUAUGCAAAUCAACCCUCCCUCCCAAUCCUGCAUCAGAGACGGCCAGGAGGCAGACACACCCCACCGACCCGCCCGCGGGCCCCCCCUCCCCCACCACGGACUCUGGCCGAGACACGGGUGGCACGGAGGCCGACUCUCGUGUCCAGCGCUGCCGGGGAACCUCGCUGCUCUGGAGCAGCAGGGCGGAGCAGAAGAGCGAAUGAAUGUAAAUGAGCAGAAAGCGUGAGUUUGUGAAUGAUCCGAGGCAGAGACGGGUGGACGGCUCGACCGAGAUGGGAUUUUUUUUGUGGGUGUGUGUAGACUUAAGUGUGUGUCAGUUUUGGGGUGGUGUUGCUCGGGAAAAGAGGGAACCUGUAUUUUUGCAAUAAAGUUAUUACCGAUGCACUCCUACAGGGGGUGUA